rnacentral:rRNA from 1 species
GACGAACGCUGGCGGCGUGCCUAAUACAUGCAAGUCGAACGCUGAAGAGAGGAGCUUGCUCUUCUUGGAUGAGUUGCGAACGGGUGAGUAACGCGUAGGUAACCUGCCUUGUAGCGGGGGAUAACUAUUGGAAACGAUAGCUAAUACCGCAUAACAAUGGAUGACCCAUGUCAUUUAUUUGAAAGGGGCAAAUGCUCCACUACAAGAUGGACCUGCGUUGUAUUAGCUAGUAGGUGAGGUAACGGCUCACCUAGGCGACGAUACAUAGCCGACCUGAGAGGGUGAUCGGCCACACUGGGACUGAGACACGGCCCAGACUCCUACGGGAGGCAGCAGUAGGGAAUCUUCGGCAAUGGGGGCAACCCUGACCGAGCAACGCCGCGUGAGUGAAGAAGGUUUUCGGAUCGUAAAGCUCGGUUGUAAGUCAAGAACGAGUGUGAGAGUGGAAAGUUCACACUGUGACGGUAGCUUACCAGAAAGGGACGGCUAACUACGUG